CCUACGGGUGGCAGCAGUGGGGAAUAUUGGACAAUGGGGGGAACCCUGAUCCAGCGACGCCGCGUGAGUGAAGAAGUAUCUCGGUAUGUAAAGCUCUAUCAGCAGGGAAGAAAGAAAUGACGGUACCUGACCAAGAAGCCCCGGCUAACUACGUGCCAGCAGCCGCGGUAAUACGUAGGGGGCAAGCGUUAUCCGGAUUUACUGGGUGUAAAGGGAGCGUAGACGGUAAUGCAAGUCUGGAGUGAAAUGCAGGGGCUCAACCCCUGAACUGCUUUGGAAACUGUAUGACUGGAGUGCAGGAGAGGUAAGUGGAAUUCCUAGUGUAGCGGUGAAAUGCGUAGAUAUUAGGAGGAACACCAGUGGCGAAGGCGGCUUACUGGACUGUAACUGACGUUGAGGCUCGAAAGCGUGGGGAGCAAACAGGAUUAGAUACCCCAGUAGUC
rnacentral:rRNA from 1 species